rnacentral:rRNA from 1 species
CCUACGGAGGGCAGCAGUGAGGAAUAUUGGUCAAUGGUCGGGAGACUGAACCAGCCAAGCCGCGUGAGGGAGGAAGGUACAGAGUAUCGUAAACCUCUUUUGUCAGGGAACAAAGACUGGGACGCGUCCCCGGAUGAGUGUACCUGAAGAAAAAGCAUCGGCUAACUCCGUGCCAGCAGCCGCGGUAAUACGGAGGAUGCGAGCGUUAUCCGGAUUGACUGGGCUUAAAGGGUGCGCAGGGGGUUUGGUAAGUUAGCGGUGAAAGGCCGGGGCUCAACCCCGGCCCGCCCGGUAAAACUAGUAGACUCGAGUGGAGGAGGGGUAAGCGGAAUGCGCAGUGUAGCGGUGGAAUGCGUAGAUAUCAGGAGGAACAUCAGGGGCGAAGGCGACUUACCGG